AACGUAGGUCACAAGCGUUGUCCGGAAUUACUGGGUGUAAAGGGAGCGCAGGCGGGAAGACAAGUUGGAAGUGAAAUCUAUGGGCUCAACCCAUAAACUGCUUUCAAAACUGUUUUUCUUGAGUAGUGCAGAGGUAGGCGGAAUUCCCGGUGUAGCGGUGGAAUGCGUAGAUAUCGGGAGGAACACCAGUGGCGAAGGCGGCCUACUGGGCACCAACUGACGCUGAGGCUCGAAAGUGUGGGUAGCAAACAGGAGUAGAUACCCCGGUAGGCCCUGACUGACU
rnacentral:rRNA from 1 species